UACGAAGGGUGCAAACGUUGCUCGGAAUCAUUGGGCGUAAAGCGCACGUAGGCGGCCUUGUAAGUCGGAUGUGAAAUCCCACGGCUCAACCGUGGAAGUGCAUCCGAAACUGCGAGGCUCGAGUAUGGAAGAGGGUCGCAGAAUUCCCGGUGUAGAGGUGAAAUUCGUAGAUAUCGGGAGGAAUACCAGUGGCGAAGGCGGCGACCUGGGCCAAUACUGACGCUGAGGAGCGAAAGCGUGGGGAG
rnacentral:rRNA from 1 species